rnacentral:rRNA from 1 species
AGGAUUCAGUCUGUAGUUGCCGUCCCGCUGGUCGGGGGCUUUCCCGGAGCCAUCCGAUCGCGAGGGACAGACGCAUUUGUCUCCCGAUCUGAGGACGCCGCAGCCCGUGGGGAAGUGCAAACGUGACGGCCUAGAAGGCGGGGAACGGCAGGUGGCCGGUGGCGAGCCCAGUGCUCUUAACCGGUUUUUAGCAGUCUCGUCGGUGUCAUGUCUCCCCACGGAGGUUUCUCCAUCCAGCAGCGCCUUCUCGUCUGGACGUGCAGUCGCGAGCGAAGGCAACCGCGCGGCCGCACUCUGUCGGAGUGGACCAGCGGCCGUCGGUGACUGAGGACCAGUCGGAGGUUGGCGGUUAGCGGCGAGUUGGUCGGUCGCCCACCCGACCCGUCUUGAAACACGGACCAAGGAGUCUAACAUGUGCGCGAGUCAAUGGGUCUCGUAUAAGCCCAGCGGCGUAACGAAAGCGAAGUUCGGUUACACUCCGAACGUGUCGGGAUGGGCGCACCGACGACCCGUCUUGUGCGACUUGUCGCUUGGGCGGAGUCUGAGCGUACACGUUGGGACCCGAAAGAUGGUGAACUAUGCCC